rnacentral:rRNA from 1 species
UACGUAGGGUGCAAGCGUUAAUCGGAAUUACUGGGCGGAAAGCGUGCGCAGGCGGUUUUGUAAGUUUGUCGUGAAAGCCCCGGGCUCAACCUGGGAAUUGCGAUGAAGACUGCAAGGCUUGAAUCUGGCAGAGGGGGGUAGAAUUCCACGUGUAGCAGUGAAAUGCGUAGAGAUGUGGAGGAACACCGAUGGCGAAGGCAGCCCCCUGGGUCAAGAUUGACGCUCAUGCACGAAAGCGUGGGGAGCAAACAGG